rnacentral:sRNA from 1 species
CUGCGAAUGGCUCAUUAAAUCAGUUAUCGUCUAUUUGAUAGUACCUUACUACUUGGAUAACCGUGGUAAUUCUAGAGCUAAUACAUGCUGAAAACCCCGACUUCGGAAGGGAUGUAUUUGUUAGAUUAAAAGCCAAUGCCCUCCGGGGCCUCCUGGUGAUUCAUGACAACUUCUCGAAUCGCACGGCCUUGCGCCGGCGAUGGUUCAUUCAAAUUUCUGCCCUAUCAACUUUCGACGGCUGGGUCUUGGCCAGCCGUGGUGACAACGGGUAACGGAGGGUUAGGGCUCGACCCCGGAGAAGGAGCCUGAGAAACGGCUACUACAUCCAAGGAAGGCAGCAGGCGCGCAAAUUACCCAAUCCCGACACGGGGAGGUAGUGACAAUAAAUACUGAUACAGGGCUCUUUUGGGUCUUGUAAUUGGAAUGAGUACAAUUUAAUUCCCUUAACGAGGAACAAUUGGAGGGCAAGUCUGGUGCCAGCAGCCGCGGUAAUUCCAGCUCCAAUAGCGUAUAUUAAAGUUGUUGCAGUUAAAAAGCUCGUAGUUGAACCUUGGGCCUGGCUGGCCGGUCCGCCUCACCGCGUGCACUGGUCCGGCCGGGCCUUUCCCUCUGGGGAGCCGCAUGCCCUUCGCUGGGCGUGCCGGGGAACCAGGACGUUUACUUUGAAAAAAUUAGAGUGUUCAAAGCAGGCUUAUGCUCGGAUACAUUAGCAUGGAAUAAUGGAAUAGGACGCGCGGUUCUAUUUUGUUGGUUUCUAGGACCGCCGUAAUGAUCAAUAGGGACAGUCGGGGGCAUCAGUAUUCCGUUGUCAGAGGUGAAAUUCUUGGAUUUACGGAAGACUAACUACUGCGAAAGCAUUUGCCAAGGAUGUUUUCAUUAAUCAGGAACGAAAGUUAGGGGAUCGAAGACGAUCAGAUACCGUCGUAGUCUUAACCAUAAACUAUGCCGACUAGGGAUCGGACGGUGUUAUCUUU